rnacentral:lncRNA from 1 species
GAGAGUUAGCAAAUUAGAGGUAGAACCUAGAGUGGAAGGAGAGAGAAGGAAAAAGGGAGGCACAGAUCACCAAGAAAUGAUGCAGAGAGUGGUAGAGAGAGAAGAAAGUAGCAAAAGAGAAGAAAAUAAAGCGGAUAUCAAGAGCAAGAGGUAAGGUGGAGAGGGAGAGGCAUGCUUUCUAAGAUAACUGCUUUCUUUCUUCC